rnacentral:rRNA from 1 species
UGGUCCCAUUCCGAACCCAGAAGUUAAGCCCCCGAGCGCCGAUGGUACUGCGGAGUAAGUCCGUGGGAGAGCAGGACGUGGCUGACC